rnacentral:rRNA from 1 species
ACUCAGAUCACGUAAUUUUUUAAUAGUCGAACAGACUAAUCCUCCUCAACUCCUACAUUAAAGUAAUUUAUUAAUUCAACAUCGAGGUCACAAACUUAAUUAUUAAUAAGAACUUGUUAAUUAAAUAAUGCUGUUAUCCCUAAAGUAACUUCUUAAUAACAACUCAAAAUAAUAAAAAUUAAUAUCUUCAUUGAUUACCCCAACCAAAAAAUUUUUCAUUUAAAAGCUUCUAGGGUCUUCUCGUCCUAAAAAUUUAUAAAAGCAUUUUUACCUUUAAUUUAAUUUCAAAAUAUAUUAAAUAAAACAAUCCUCUUAAAUUUCUACCCUUCAUUCCAGUUUUCAAUUAAAAAA